GUGAAUCAUCAAAUUUUUGAACGCAAAUUGCACUCUCUUCGGAGAGUAUGCCUGUUUGAGGGUCAGCCUAAAAAAAAUCGACAUAGUUGCUGUUACGCGGUAACAUUCGUCGGAAAUUGGGUCAUCUUAAACCUUUGGGUUUAAGCGGCUUAAAAUUUUCUUUCGGUUCCAAGGACGUUUCCUAGAUUUUUUUUUCUUUUACGUUUUAGGUUUUG
rnacentral:misc_RNA from 1 species